AAAAAUAUGGGUCCUAUCUCGUCACGUGUGUAUUGUAUUUUUUUCGAAAUCAACCAAUAGCAAUGUGUAGAUUGACCAAUUGUUUCAGUCACGGAUGAACAGCUGAGUUCGAACAUUCAGCUAUUGGUUGUUUACGAUAAAAUACAAUACACACGUGACGAGAACGGAACAACUUUUUGCAUAAACAAGGACAAUAAGAUAGAUAAUGAGUUGUAUUGUG